rnacentral:rRNA from 1 species
CCAGACUCCUACGGGAGGCAGCAGUGAGGAAUAUUUCACAAUGAGCGAAAGCUUGAUGGAGCAAUGCCGCGUGCAGGAUGAAGGCCCUCGGGUUGUAAACUGCUUUUAUAAGAGAAGAUUAUGACGGUAACUUAUGAAUAAGGGACGGCUAACUACGUGCCAGCAGCCGCGGUCAUACGUAGGUCCCGAGCGUUAUCCGGAGUGACUGGGCGUAAAGAGUUGCGUAGGCGGUCAAGUUAGCGAGCGAUGAAAACUAUCGGCUCAACCGAUAGCUUGUUGUUCGAACUGCUUGACUCGAGAGUAUCAGAGGUCGCUGGAAUUCCUAGUGUAGCAGUGAAAUGCGUAGAUAUUAGGAAGAACACCGAUGGCGUAGGCAGGCGACUGGGAUAUUUCUGACGCUAAGGCACGAAAGCGUGGGUAGCGAACCGGAUUAGAUACCCGGGUAGUCCACGCCGUAAACGAUGGAUGCUAAUUGUUUGAGGUAUCGACCCCUCGAGUAAUAAAGCUAACGCGUUAAGCAUCCCGCCUGUGGAGUACGGUCGCAAGACUAAAACAUAAAGGAAUUGACGGGGGCCCGCACAAG